rnacentral:ncRNA from 2 species
CUCUUAUCAAGAGAGGUGGAGGGACUUGGCCCAGUGAAGCCUCGGCAACCGACUAUAUCGGUGCCAAAUCCAGCAGAGAUUUCUGAGAGAUAAGGG